GGUCCCUCCGGCGCCGGCCGAGCCUCGCCGCCCACCCCGCCCCCGCCCCAGCCCCACAGGCCCGCGACCCGCUGACACCGAGGCGGAAGUGCGGCCGGCCGCCAGGCAGACUGACAGCCGGCGCUCUCCACUCGCCGCGCCCGGCGCCGGAGCGUCAGCGGCCGUCCGCCCAAUCCGCGCCCGGCCCGAGGGCCGCGCCGGGAGGCGGGACUAUGCUAAUCAUUUGCGGGAGCGGCAACCCCCGUUGCCCCUCGGGAGUCCCGCCCGCGCGGAGGAGUGACGCCACGGACAGCCAGUCAUAGCAGGCAGAGGCGGGGUUAUGCAGAUAUUGACCCUAGACCUCUCCAGAACUGGGCCGGCUGAGAGAAAGACGCUGUCUGGAGCUACUUACUGGGCAUCUGGCCACCGUGAGGGAUGUGGCGCCCGGGAAUGAGGCCAGCCCAGAGGGAAGCGAGAGCACACGUCCUGGGUCACCUGGAACAGCUACACCCUAAGCAAGCUCUGUCCUAGACUUUUCAGUUACAGGAGCUACUGUAUUUUCUUUUCUGCUGAAGCCAGUUUGAGUACAAAGGAAUACUGAGUCUUGCACCCCCAACAGUACUGACAGAGUAGUCGUGACCACAUGGCACAUGGAGACAGUCCCGCUCACGGCCGCCUCUUCCACAAAGCCGGACCCCAGCCCCACCGUGCCCCACCCGGCCUCCUGUCCCCCAAUGCUGGUCUCCGUGCUGCCACCUCAGAAUGUGAUUCCCCGUCUCUAGCAAGGAGGAGGUACUGACAGGUCACCCCAGCAGGACUAAGGGUGCCUUGAGGGCAGGGGCCGGCCUCGACUGAGUGGAUGGGGUCUCCGGCAGGAGUGGGGCCCAGAGAUCCCGUCAUCCCCCAUCCUAGAGACUGGCCCAGCUCACUGGUGGGCCCUGUCACUGCCGCCCGCCGACGUGCCGGGACUGAAAAGGAGCUCUCCCAACCUCUGCUGUAGAGAGAAACCAGGAGGGGGUGGGGCCAAGCCUCCGAAACAAAGGCGUUGCCAUGGUUACCCCUGAAGAAACCGACCCCAGCAGAAGAGGGAGGUGUGUGCAGGCCCCCAAGCCAGGACGAGGACAAGGCCUGUUGCCAUGGAGAUGCUCCAAAGCUUCCCUUGUGGGCCUGGCCAAAGUCCAGUGCAGGGUCCCGAAACCACCACCCCUCAUUCGAAGACGGGGCUUUGCGAUUCUGACCUAGGGCAAAGGACACGCCCCGAGGGAUUCAACCUGCUGGCCCACCCCGUGGCCAUGACCUCUGGGGUGAGUGCGGUAUCGGGGAGCUAGGGCCAGAGGAGAGGCUGGAAUGGACAGAGUCUCCUGUCUGCCCACGGGCCACACCAGGGCUGAGCUUGACCACCUCUGCCCUGGCCUUGGAGUGGGGUAGGGCCUGACCCCAGGUGGGCCCUGCGGCUGGGAUAUCAGUUUACCCCCUUUUAACAGAUGCAAUAAACUGAGCUCCAAGGA